ACCCUCCAGCCCCUCCUCUGCCUUUGCCUGGACUUUAGUACAAUCAAAUCAGAGUCGACGGAGUGGGAAGUCUCUCUCUUGAUCAGAGGGAGCUGCUGUCAAAAAAGAUGAUGUGUCGAUGCUAGAGGUGGAGGUGGUGGCGAACUUGGCUGCAGGAGAUGGCUGCUACAGUGGAGGGGAGUUGAAGGUGUUGAUGGUGGCGGAACUCUUCGAUCAUUAGCCCUAAAGGUCCCA
rnacentral:lncRNA from 1 species